UACGGAGGAUGCAAGCGUUAUCCGGAAUGAUUGGGCGUAAAGCGUCCGCAGGUGGCUGUGUAAGUCUGCUGUUAAAGAGUCAUGCUCAACAUGAUAAGAGCAGUGGAAACUACACGGCUAGAGUGCGUUCGGGGCAGAGGGAAUUCCUGGUGUAGCGGUGAAAUGCGUAGAGAUCAGGAAGAACACCGAUGGCGAAGGCAGGUCUCUGGGCCACUACUGACGCUGAGAAGCGAAAGCGUGGGGAGCGAACAGG
rnacentral:rRNA from 1 species